rnacentral:rRNA from 1 species
CACGUAGGGUGCGAGCGUUGUCCGGAAUUAUUGGGCGUAAAGAGCUCGUAGGCGGUGUGUCGCGUCGGCCGUGAAAACCUGCAGCUUAACUGUGGGCUUGCGGUCGAUACGGGCAUCACUGGAGUUCGGCAGGGGAGACUGGAAUUCCUGGUGUAGCGGUGAAAAUGCGCAGAUAUCAGGGAGGGAACACCCGGUGGGCGAAAGGCGG